GGAUGGGUGCCCGAGUGGUUGAAGGGGCACGCCUGGAGAGCGUGUAGCCGGGCCUAAACCUGGCUCGUGGGUUCAAAUCCCACCCCAUCCGCCA
rnacentral:tRNA from 1 species